rnacentral:rRNA from 1 species
UGCAUGAGUGGCGGACGGGUGAGUAACGUGUGGGCAACCUGGCCUGUACAGGGGGAUAACACUUAGAAAUAGGUGCUAAUACCGCAUAACGGGGGAAGCCGCAUGGCUUUUCCCUGAAAACUCCGGUGGUAUACGAUGGACCCGCGUCUGAUUAGCCAGUUGGCAGGGUAACGGCCUACCAAAGCGACGAUCAGUAGCCGGCCUGAGAGGGUGGACGGCCACAUUGGGACUGAGACACGGCCCAAACUCCUACGGAAGGCAGCAG